rnacentral:rRNA from 1 species
GUGGGGAAUAUUGGACAAUGGGCGAAAGCCUGAUCCAGCCAUGCCGUGUGUGUGAAGAAGGUCUUCGGAUUGUAAAGCACUUUAAGUUGGGAGGAAGGGCAGUAAGUUAAUACCUUGCUGUUUUGACGUUACCGACAGAAUAAGCACCGGCUAACUUCGUGCCAGCAGCCGCGGUAAUACGAAGGGUGCAAGCGUUAAUCGGAAUUACUGGGCGUAAAGCGCGCGUAGGUGGGUUUGUAAGUUGGAGGUGAAAUCCCCGGGCUCAACCUGGGAACUGCCUACAAAACUGCAUGACUAGAGUACGUUAGAGGGUAGUGGAAUUUCCUGUGUAGCGGUGAAAUGCGUAGAUAUAGGAAGGAACACCAGUGGCGAAGGCGACUACCUGGACUGAUACUGACACUGAGGUGCGAAAGCGUGGGGAGCAAACAGGAUUAGAUACCCCUGUAGUCC